rnacentral:rRNA from 1 species
UACGUAGGGUGCGAGCGUUAAUCGGAAUUACUGGGCGUAAAGCGUGCGCAGGCGGUUCGUUGUGUUCGUCGUGAAAGCCCCGGGCUUAACCUGGGAACUGCGAUGGAAACUAGCGAGCUGGAGUGUGGCAGAGGGGGGUGGAAUUCCGCGUGUAGCAGUGAAAUGCGUAGAGAUGCGGAGGAACACCGAUGGCGAAGGCAGCCCCCUGGGCUAACACUGACGCUCAGGCACGAAAGCGUGGGGAGCAAACAGG